rnacentral:lncRNA from 1 species
UAUCAGUGUGCAUUGUGUGACGUAUGGGUAAGCACUGUUUCGAGAAUCUCCUGUUCCGGGAUGGAAAGGCACAGCGUGCGUGCAUGGGUUACACGGUAUGUCACAGCCAUAUCGUGGGUUCUGGUCAAAAGUGCUGGCCAGCGUGGCCACAGGUCAACCUCCAGCCCAGCCGGCACCAGCAGGUGUGCUGCUCUCUCCCCAGGUGUGCCAAGUGCAAGACCGUCUUCCACCAGAGCUGCCAGGCUGUGGUGAAGAAGGGCUGCCCCCGCUGUGCUCGCUGACGCAAGUACCAGCAACAGAACGUUUUCGCCUGAUGCCCCUCUGCUGAUCCCACUCUGAAGGCCGGGGGAAACCUGGCAGCGCCGGAGCCGCGCGGUCGAGGAGGGAGCGCGGGACGCCGAGCCCACGCGCGCCUGCCGGGACAAGUGGAGACGAGGCCGGCGAGCGGACGCCCCGAGGUUGGCGAAGGAGCUGUGGCCGGGUCCCCUUCUUAUCCAGCCCGAGACACUGCGCUCCGGUGGGCGUCCCUGCGCUGGGAAUCCCGCUCGGAGUUUUUCCAGGCCCGGCCGGGUUGCUCCGGGAAAGGCCCUGUUGGGGGAGGUGGGCCCGGAGCUGUCAGGUCUACAAUCCGGUUGGAAGGGCUCGCAGUGGGUGAUUCAGGGUGCCAAUGACCUCCCCACGAACGGGAACGCCCGCACUAGACAACCAGCCCCAGACCGGCAUUCCCAGAGCCGCAGGCGGGAGGGACGCAGGGACUCCGGGACAGCAAAUCCCCGGGGGAGAAGGGAAGGGGGAAGGCGGGGCAGGGGAGGCCCACCCUCCUUGGGCUCCGCUAGCGACCAGCCAGCGCCCCUUCAGACGCAGCCUUCCUGGCUCCGGAUCCCGGCUUUCUGCUCCGGUCCUCGUCCCAAUGCCCCCCAAGGUCCCCAGCAGAGGCAUUCAGGUUCCUCCUCGCCCCGCCCAGACGCAGCUUCUUUGGGUAUGGGUGACAGCACUCCUGAGCGUCGCUGUCCCUAUUCGCUGCCGUUGCCAGCUCCGAUUCCGCGAAACCUCUCCGGCACCACCUCGGAAGCCCCGCCCAGGGCGAUGGUCCGGGCCUAACCUGCCGGCCCCGCCC